CUGAGAUGGGAUUUUGUUCCUGUCUUCCAGUCCCCAACUCUGCAGCCCUCCAAAUCUAUUCCUUACUCACAAUACCUCCUUAGAAAACCUGGCUUUCCUUCUCUCAUUUCUUCUGAAGCCCCUUCUCCAUCUGGUUAAAGUGAAGAGUUCAGAUGGUUCAUGAUGGAGUUAGACGCUUUGCCCCAGGAUCAUGGAGUCAGCCUGGUGCCUUUCCACGAAUAACAAGCUCAGCAACUUGGCACAGCACAUGUAUGGAGGCCAUCAACCUCGACUCCAGGCACAAGCAUUUGGAAAUUGAUUCAACACUUUUGAUGCCAGUCAGCUGUGAAAUUGAAAUCGCAAACAGAAAUACUACAUUUUCAUCCACAGCAGAAACUGAGAAAGUCCGUUUUUAUGGCAGGCAAAGAACCAGCGCGAACUUGUCAACAGGGUCAUUCACUGUUUAGGCUUGAAGGCAGUUUGGGACUGGCGUCUUGAAAAGGAGGAAGGAAAGAGGCCCCGAAAUUUUUUGGCUUUCUCUCACAGUCUGACCAACAAGUGUUCUCCAGGGUUCAAAGAUGGAGAGCCUUUGAGUUUUUCAAUGCAACCUGACUUUCUUUCUUCUUUCUUCGAAUGGCUUGCGGUUGUGCUGAAGAAGUUUUCAUUCUUGCAAGGGGCGGA
rnacentral:lncRNA from 1 species